CGUGUUAUAUGCCUUUAUUGUCACGUUUUUAUUUUCGUUUGGUAUAUUGAUGGUAAUUAUUAAUUAGCCAGCGAAUAAAUUGACAAGCCCGAACAACUGUUCGGGCUUUUUUUUGGUUCCAA
rnacentral:sRNA from 1 species